GGCGAGAUGGCCGAGCGGUCUAAGGCGCCACGUUAAGGAGCUCCUUAAUAACAUCACCAUCUUCCGAGAUCUUGAUUCCGUGGUCCGAAAGGGCGUGGGUUCGAAUCCCACUCUCGUCA